rnacentral:rRNA from 1 species
UAGACUUCCGCAAGGACCUCUGUAGAGGUGCUGCAUGGCUGUCGUCAGCUCGUGUCGUGAGAUGUUGGGUUAAGUCCCGCAACGAGCGCAACUCUUGUCUUCUGUUGCCAUCGGGUCAAGCCGGGCACUCUGAAGAGACUGCCGGUGACAAACCGGAGGAAGGUGGGGAUGACGUCAAGUCAGCAUGGCCUUUAUGUCUGGGGCCACACACGUGCUACAAUGGCCGGUACAAACCGUCGCGAGCCCGCAAGGGGGAGCUAAUCGGAGAAAGCCGGUCUCAGUUCGGAUUGUAGGCUGCAACUCGCCUGCAUGAAGUUGGAAUCGCUAGUAAUCGCGGAUCAGCACGCCGCGGUGAAUACGUUCCCGGGCCUUGUACACACCGCCCGUCACAUCACGAAAGCUGGCUGUACUAGAAGUAGCUGCGCCAACCCGCAAGGGAGGCAGGUUCCUAAGGUAUGGUCAGUGAUUGGGGUGAAGUCGUAACAA